UCCGAAGGAUCCAAGCGUUAUCCGGAUUUAUUGGGUUUAAAGGGUGCGUAGGCGGCUUUUUAAGUCAGUGGUGAAAGCUCCAUGCUUAACAUGGAAAUUGCCAUUGAUACUGAAGAGCUUGAGUACAUUUGAAGUGGGCGGAAUAUGUCAUGUAGAGGUGAAAUUCUUAGAGAUGACAUAGAACACCGAUUGCGAAGGCAGCUCACUAAACUGUAACUGACGCUGAGGCACGAAAGCGUGGGGAUCAAACAGG
rnacentral:rRNA from 1 species